CUAGAGAAGAGGCAUGUAAUAUCUGUAAAAAAUAUUACUAUUAGAAUUGCUGGCUUUUAUUUUUACAAAAUUAUUUUAUUACUAUUUAUGUGUAUGGGUGCUUUGCUUACAUGUAUGUCUGUGUAUCAUAUGCAUGCCAUGUGCCCUCGGAAGCCAGAGGGUGAUGGUGAAUCCCUUGGACCUGGAGUUACAGAUGGUUGUAAGCUACUGUGUGGGUGCUGGGACUUGAACCCUGGUCCUUUGGAAGAGCAGUUGAUACUCUUUACUGCUGAGUCAUCUCUCCAGCUCCAGCUUACACUUUGAUUUUUAUUUUUCACUGUUAAUUUUUCUCAUGGUGCCAAGUCUAGUUUGCCUGUGCCUGGUUCACACAGUCCGGUUCUUUUGGGCCGUUAGUGAUAUCAUUCAGUUUAGUCUGAGUGGGAUCAGCCUGGGUGAUGGCAAUCUGUCCUUCUACCUGGCGUUGCAGGGUCACAGGGCACACCAGCUUGGGAAGAUGUUUGCCAGGUUUGGGUGUGAGCCUGUUCUCUGAGUCCAAAGAGAGACACUACUGAGAAUAACAGGUUGAUGUGCAAGCUUCCAAACAUUAAUGAUCUAUAAUGUGUUGACUUACAGCUUCUCAUCAUGUCUUAACAGUAGUUAAGAGAACCAAGCAAAGAGUUUGAAUACAUUCAUAUAUAAUAUGAAUAAAGCAAACUGUAAUAAGAGUGGGCCAAUAUUUCAAUAGUUGCAUGAUUUCAAUACCAUUUUCCCGUGUUUAUUUACUUUCCAAUGUAAUUUAUGUUUAUAACAGAAAAAUAAUUUAAUUCAGUUGUAUAAUCUGAAUGAACAGAAGAUAAGAUACCUACUGUGGGGCAGAGUUCUGAAUGACAAAUGAAAGUCCUCAAAAUAAACAGAUUUCUUUUGUCUCCUUGGUUUUGUUUGAGUUGGAGUCUUGCUGUGCAUGAUAUUGGAGCUAUUAUUCUUCUGCCUUAUCACCUGAACAAUAGCUGGGCUCAUCUCAGCAUUCACAAGGCUGGAGCAGGAAGACCAUGAAUCUAAGGCUAGCCUGGACUACACAGCAAGACCUUGUCAAAAAAGCAAAAUAAACAACAAAUACGGCCCCUCACUCAACCAAGCGGUAACCGCAAUGUGCUAAUUUACCAAAAGCUUCUAUUUGAAGUUGUAUGACUAGAAAGAAAAAAUUUUGUGAUCGAA